CCGGCGAGUUACGUUAUCUUAGCGAGGUUAAGUCAGAAAAGACGGAGCCGGAGCGAAAGCGAGUCUUAAUAGGGCGAAAAGUUAGGUGACGUAGACCCGAAACCAAGUGACCUACCCAUGACCAGGCUGAAGGUGUGGUAAAACGCACUGGAGGGCCGAACCCACGUAAGUUAAAAAUUGCGGGGAUGAGUUGUGGGUAGCGGUGAAAUUCCAAACGAACUUGGAGAUAGCUGGUUCUCUCCGAAAUAGCUUUAGGGCUAGCCUCGUGGAGAGGAUAAUGGAGGUAGAGCUCUGUUUGGACUAGGGGCCCGUCAGGGGUUACUGAAUCCAGAUAAACUACGAAUUCCAGAUAUCCAUACACGGGAGUCAGACUGCGAGUGAUAAGAUCCGUAGUCGAAAGGGAAACAGCCCAGAUCACCAGUUAAGGUCCCGAAAUCUAUGCUAAGUGGAAAAGGAUGUGGAGUUGCGUAGACAACUAGGACGUUGGCUCAGAAGCAGCCAUCAUUCAAAGAGUGCGUAAUAGCUCACUAGUCGAGUGGCGCUGCGCCGAAAAUUUACCGGGGCUAAGCAUAGUACCGAAACUGUGGAUGUGUUUUAAAGAGCACGUGGUAGGAGAGCGUUCUAAGAGCGGAGAAGUUGAAUCGAGAGGAUCAAUGGAGCGCUUAGAAGUGAGAAUGCCGGUAUGAGUAGCGAAAGAUAGGUGAGAAUCCUAUCCGCCGAAAGACUAAGGUUUCCUGGGGCAGGCUCGUCCGCCCAGGGUAAGUCGGGACCUAAGGCAAGGCCGAGAGGCGUAGUCGAUGGAUAACAGGUAGAGAUUCCUGUACUGUGUCAAAUCGUUAAGAGCGAAGGAGGGACGCAGGAGGUGAAGCACGCAUCGCGAUGGAACGAUGUUCAAGCAACAAGUGCGGUUAAGAGUCAAAUGCUUCUAACCAGCAACACGAGUUGUGAAGAGGAGUGAAUUAAAAGUAGCGAAGGUGUGGUAAUCACACUGCCAAGAAAAGCUUCUAGCCAGAGAUGACAUACCCGUACCGCAAACCGACACAGGUAGUCGAGUGGAGAACACUAAGGUGAGCGAGAGAACUCUCGUUAAGGAACUCGGCAAAAUGACCCCGUAACUUCGGAAGAAGGGGUGCUAGCCAAGAGAUUGGUUAGCCGCAGUGAAUAGGCCCAAACAACUGUUUAUCAAAAACACAGGUCUCUGCAAAAUCGUAAGAUGACGUAUAGAGGCUGACACCUGCCCGGUGCUGGAAGGUUAAGAGGAGAGCUUAGCGUAAGCGAAGGUUUGAAUUGAAGCCCCAGUAAACGGCGGCCGUAACUAUAACGGUCCUAAGGUAGCGAAAUUCCUUGUCGGGUAAGUUCCGACCUGCACGAAAGGUGUAAUGAUUUGGGCACUGUCUCAACGAGAGACUCGGUGAAAUUAUAAUACCCGUGAAGAUGCGGGUUACCCGCGACAGGACGGAAAGACCCCAUGGAGCUUCACUGUAGCUUGAUAUUGAGUAUCUUUUAAACAUGUACAGGAUAGGUAGGAGCCAGAGAAGAUAGGACGCUAGUCUUAUUGGAGGCAAUGUUGGGAUACUACCCUUGUUUGAAGGAUGCUCUAACCUCGACCUGUAAGCCAGGCCAGGGACAGUGUCAGGUGGGCAGUUUGACUGGGGCGGUCGCCUCCUAAAGUGUAACGGAGGCGCUCAAAGGUUCCCUCAGAAUGGUUGGAAAUCAUUCGCAGAGUGUAAAGGUAUAAGGGAGCUUGACUGCGAGAGAGACAACUCGAGCAGGUAGGAAACUAGGACUUAGUGAUCUGGUGGUACCGUAUGGAAGGGCCAUCACUCAACGGAUAAAAGCUACCCUGGGGAUAACAGGCUUAUCUCCCCCAAGAGUUCACAUCGACGGGGAGGUUUGGCACCUCGAUGUCGGCUCGUCGCAUCCUGGGGCUGAAGUCGGUCCCAAGGGUUGGGCUGUUCGCCCAUUAAAGCGGCACGCGAGCUGGGUUCAGAACGUCGUGAGACAGUUCGGUCCCUAUCCGUCGUGGGCGUAGGAAAUUUGAGAGGAGCUGUCCUUAGUACGAGAGGACCGGGAUGGACGCACCGCUGGUGUACCAGUUGUUCCGCCAGGAGCAUCGCUGGGUAGCUAUGUGCGGAAAGGAUAAGCGCUGAAAGCAUCUAAGUGCGAAGCCCCCCUCAAGAUGAGAUUUCCUUUGCGUAAGCAGUAAGACACCUCAGAGACGAUGAGGUAGAUAGGCUGGGAGUGGAAGUCCUGUGAAGGAUGGAGCGGACCAGUACUAAUCAGUCGAGGACUUGACCAA
rnacentral:rRNA from 1 species